GCGCCUCCCCGAGCUGAGCCGCGCGUCCCGAGCCCAGCCUCUCCGGGGAGGAGGGACCCGGCGGCGCGGCGUGGGUCGGGAGCGGGCGCCUGGGACUACUUCUCGUUUGAAAGUUUUCAGAGGCCAAAAGUUUGAGCCGGGGCUGCGGAAGGAUCCGGCUCUGGCGGUUGCCGCGCUCGGCGACAACUGGCGACUGAAAUUUGCAUGUGAAUAAGCGGAGGAGCCCGGGGCGGAAUGGGGAGGGCGAGGCCGCGGACAGCCGUGUGCACCGUGCGCUGGGCCGGGCGGGGAGCAGCUGAGGCCACGUUGGGGGACCCCGGGCCCGGGGCAGGGCUCUGGGAGAGUGGCCUAGCCGUGUGUGCGCCCCUAGCCCAGCGGCUUCACUCCCUCCCGAGGGCCCCGUGGCCGCGGCUUUAGGCGUCCAGAGGAUCGAUCGCCGCCAGACAUCCCUGGCCGUGAUUGCCCGAGCACUUGACCGCGAGGGAUGGGGGCGCCGCGGCCUCUGGGCAGGGGACUCCGGGCGCCCCGAGGGAGCAGCCGGGACCAGUGCCUCGCGGACGGAUUGUGCCCCGCUCCCCCAAGGGGGACCCGCGUCGACACGCUCCUCGGUCACCGUCCUCCUCCUGCCCGGGCGCCGCCUGCCUAAGGUGGCCCCAGAAAGCACAAACGGGUCGGGCGGAUCUGCCGCUGGCGCCGGCGCAGCCCUUCCCACGUGCUCCUUCCGGCUGAUUUAUUUCUCCACCACGAUGCCAGGCACGGGCACCCUGUGCCAAGCCUGGUUAAGCGCCAGGAGUCCAAAAUGCCUGCCAUAGUCCCUGCGCAAAGUUCACGGCCUCGUGCCAGGGACAGACAGCGCCCCCUCCCCACCCCAACACAGGGUGGUGAGUGCGAUGGCAGAAGGCGCGUGUCCCGGCGCCCCUCCUGGAGUAGGAGGGCUAAGCCUGCCCUGCGGGGAGACCGAAAGGCUGGGAGGGACCUAGGACUGUGGGGGCCUGGGGGGAGGGCUGCAGAAACCCCAGAGCAUGGUGGCAGAGGCAGGCACAGAAAGCAGGACAAAUCUCACACCUGACCCCAGCAAGCCUUUCCUGGCACACCUCUUGCCAAAUGCUGAGCACUCUGGAAACAGCCAGUGCAGGCGGCCUGUCCCGCCCCUGUAGCUGCUGCUGGGAGCCUCCCUCGCCUGCGUCCUCCCAGAAUCUGGCCUCACUUCUGCAGGCCUGGGGUAACAUCUUGGGGUCAGCGCCCCAGGAGAGGAGGCGCCUGGAGGCAGCAGAGAUGUUUAUGUAACAGCAGCCAGGCAGCCUGGAGGAGCAGAUUUUCCAUAGAAGGAAGCGCGGGGCUGUGCAGCUCCCAGGCUGAGGACUCUGCCCACCACGACGUCCUCUGCUCCUGGUGGGUGGGGGUGGGGUGGGGCAUAGGGAGGCCCGAAGGCCUCAGGCCUGGUGCUGAUCGGGUGCGGGUGCGACUGCCUGUGUGCCUCCAUUGGCAUCUCUGCCUGUGGGCCCCAGGCCAGAAGUAAUGGCCCAUGUAGCCCAGGCCCGGGGGCCAGUCCUCAGCAUUUUGCGGAGGGGCGGCCUGGGAGGGGAGGAGGGGAUCCCUGGAUAGGGGGUCUCCCCUGGUCUGCCCCAGCUGUGCCGACAGCACCUCCACCUUGGGCCUCCAUCCUCUACCAGCAGAGAAGAGAGUGGCCCAUUCGGUGUCCACCCGUCAGGCCACCCAGCAGCCAGGCACGCUCAUAAGCCCGCGUUACGGAUGGUGCGGCCGGGUGCACAGGCCCGAGGGAAGCACAGGCCUCGGCCUCCCAGCUCCCAACCCCUGCACCACCCACAGCCGGGAGUACCCCAUGGACAGCUGUGGCCGAGGAGAAGCCAGGGAUGAGGGGGAUGGGCCUCACCUCCCCACCAGCCUGGGAAGGGGGUAGGCCCCUGGCAAGUAGGUGAGAAGCUUUUUCAUUCACAAGUUGUCCGGGCUCCCCAUUCCUCUUUGUCAGGCCAGCGGGUGUGGGCAGUCGGGGGAGGCUGGGGUCCUGACACAACAGGAGUACAUCUGCUGGCCUAGGGCCUGGAGACCUUCUCCUACAGGUCGGGAGGCAGCCCUGGGCAGCGGGCAUUGCGGGGACUAAAGAGAAACAAGAGCAGGUUGUGUGCAGGGCACCCCAGCCACUCCAGAAACCCAAUGGGAGGGUGGGGGCUAGGACCCCAAGAAGCUGAAUUGGGGUGCAGUGCCGCCAGGCCUCCCCUGUAGGAGUCACUUUGGGCUUCCUGUCCCAACUUGUGGUGGGAGCUGGGGCAAGGUUCCAGGGGUACCCCGAAUGAAUGGGGCUGUUCCCAAGCUGGCCAGGGAGCCUGGAAGCAGAUGAGAUGGGGCCGCAGAGCCUGGUUUGCGGAGGGGAGAGGCAGACGUGUCCUGCAGCCCUCUCUUCUUCAGAGGCCCCCUGCGGGUGCUGAGGGGAGAGUGGCUUAGGCGUUGCACCCCAGGAGACUGAACUGGGUCAGUUCCCCCUUGUUUGCUGCCAGAGAAAUGGGGGUACCAUUGUCAGGGUGAGCUAAGGAGGCCCUGCUGACAUUGGCCCAACCAGGCCCCUCCUUUGCGGCUGCUGUGGGGACUUUCGAGAGCAGAGCACACCCCUAAGUGCGUGGAGAGGUAAGCACAGCUGGUGAGCACACGGGGACAGCGACGGAGCUCAUGGAGACCCAGGUGACCUUAAAACACCCCAGGGCCGGCUCCGGCCCCAGAGAGAUGUGGUCCGAGUAGAGGGGGGUCAGCAGUGACCUGGUGGGUGGGUGUAUUUGAGGGGUGCCUGUGUUGAAAGCUCUGCAGUAGAUUCUAAGGAGCAGCCAGGGCUGAGACUCCCGGUGCUGAGCCCAAGGCCCCUUUCCUUCCUGCAGGAGUUCAUCUUGGCUCUUGCAGCCCCCAUGACCCUGUGGCGCUGGGGGGCGGCUAGCAUGAUGCUCCCCAUUUUUCAGGAGGGAAGCUGAGGCUCAGAGACAUCAUGAGGAUGCCAGCUCAAGGCCCAGCCAGGCCUUGGUCCUCAGCUGCUGUCAUCCAGUAGGGUAAGUGGGACCCCCAGGAGGUGUUGGGGGACACUCCUCCCCUCCCCCACACUCACAGUCUGUUCACCGCCCAAGGCAGCAGGCUGGACUCGGUGCAGGGACCAUGGCUUGGCGUGGCCAGGUUGGAGUGGCCCCUGGGACUGAAAGCAGGGGGCGUGGGGGCUCUGAGGCGGGGCCGAGUGCGGGGACGUCCUGUGGCGGGUACCCUGCUGGGUCCUGGGUGGGGGCCACCACCAGGCAGCUGUGGGAACAUUCCAGACCACCUAGGAGUAGGGCCCCUUCACCGUUUGAAGCUGACUGUAAAAAACAUCUGACCUGUGUGCAAAGCUCAAGCCCAGAGGCCUCCAGGGUGUCCAGCCUCCAGGGUGCCUCCUACGCAGCCUCCACGUCCCCAUCCACUGCAGCCCCUGACCAUCGGGCACACCGUGGGGCCUUCGCUGGCCGCCGGGCCUCAGGUUCUGCUGCACCAAGUGAUUUUUAAAGCCCCAUCUGCCUUUCUCCACUUAUAAAGAACUUGGGACAUU
rnacentral:lncRNA from 1 species